UUGCUGGGAGCCGAUUUGAGUGGCUGCCAUUACAAGAUGGCAUUUGGCCCCGGCCUCGCUUGAUAAAUAACUCCAUAUUAGGCAAUGCAGUGGAACCGGGCCUCUCGCACAUGUGCUUAGGGCCAAUUCCGUGGCCAGGAGCAUUGGUAGGUGCGCAUAGGCCAAUUCAGGCACGAUUCGUUCCCAUAAUAAAGGUUGCAGUUCUUCCACCAGAAAACAGGGAUCGAGAAGUGCCUCAUUGGGUCUGGAGCCACCUGACUAGAACUGUUGAAGUCCAUCAUGAAAAUGACUCUUCAGGAUGCUGAUACUGCUGAUCCUGUGGAAGACGAUCCCAAGCCGAGUGGAGCAGAGAUGGGGAAUACUGUCUGCCUUCCCUAAGCCGAUUCCUGUUUGCCACAAUGCCGUGGUUUUUCCCCGUUUUUUGAAGCAGCUUCUUGUGACCCUGGCUCGACUGCUGAGUCCUUCACGGGGAUGUUGCUGCUGUGUUCUGCUCGGUGCCCACUUCAAUUUCACAAGCCCCAGCUGAACCUGUUUGACACUUAGCAUGUAGUGUUUCACCAUCUGACACUUUUGAACUUUGCUCAGAGGAUAACACACUGGUAGAUUCCUUUGGAGCAACAAGCUCAGUUUGGCUGCAGGCUUCCUCAGUCCCUACUUUGAGAAAGGCUAUUCCUUCCCCCUCAGAGCUGUGUGCUCAGCUUCUCCUUUGUCUUGUCUUUUCCGAGAUGACCUUUUGGUGGUGGGCUUGACUUGAAGAUGUAUAAUCUGCCUAUGGCUAAAAUGCCGCCCCCAAGCUCAGACAUCUCGAGAUAAGGUUGCGGUUCUAUGAGCGUUAGCCGCUUUGGAGAAUGGCGAUUCACCCCAAGUAUGGUUAUCUGUCCUAAAAGGCCAGUAGGUUUGUUCCUUGCAUAGACUUUGCACUCUCAGGGAGAAAUUCUCCAUUGCACUGAGGAAGGUAUGCAUUUUUACUCUGAGUACUGCCUUUGCACCUCCCAGGAGUUUAUUCCAUUGCAUUGGAGAAGGAGUACCAGGAGUUUUAGGCCUCCUUUGAUUGGUCCUUGCAUCAUGAGGUGAGGACCUGAACGGGAGUAAGACCUUCUCACUGGCCUACAGAGAAAAACAGAAAGGGGGAACUGCUGGGAGCCAAUUUGAGUGGCUGCCAUUACAAGAUGGCAUUUGGCCCCGGCCUCGCUUGAUAAAUAACUCCAUAUUAGGCAAUGCAGUGGAACCAUGCCUCUUGCAUAUGUGCUUAGGGCCAACCCCGUGGCCAGGAGCAUUGGUAGGUGCGCAUAGGCCAAUUCAGGCACGAUUCAUUCCCAUAAUAAAGGUUGCAGUUCUUCCACCAGAAAACAGGGUGGGUCUCCAGAGAAGCAGUUGAAGUAUCAAAGGUUGCUAGGCAGACUCCCUAUAUAAGCAGCUGCAGCUCAGAGCUCCAGGCCCCUCGCUUCCUGCUCUCCC